rnacentral:rRNA from 1 species
GUCCCAGACUCCUACGGGAGGCAGCAGUGGGGAAUAUUGCACAAUGGGGGAAACCCUGAUGCAGCGACGCCGCGUGAGCGAUGAAGUAUUUCGGUAUGUAAAGCUCUAUCAGCAGGGAAGAAAAUGACGGUACCUGACUAAGAAGCCCCGGCUAACUACGUGCCAGCAGCCGCGGUAAUACGUAGGGGGCAAGCGUUAUCCGGAUUUACUGGGUGUAAAGGGAGCGUAGACGGCUGUGCAAGCCAGAUGUGAAAGCCCGGGGCUCAACCCCGGGACUGCAUUUGGAACUGUGUGUCUGGAGUGUCGGAGAGGCAGGCGGAAUUCCUAGUGUAGCGGUGAAAUGCGUAGAUAUUAGGAGGAACACCAGUGGCGAAGGCGGCCUGCUGGACGAUGACUGACGUUGAGGCUCGAAAGCGUGGGGCGCAAACAGGAUUAGAUACCCCCGUAC